rnacentral:lncRNA from 1 species
GCCUGGUAUAAAGAGGGAAUCUGUAUUAGAAAAGUUCUAUUUUUAAAAAGGACAUAUUAAGGGUAAAUAAAUGAUUCCUUGAAAAAUUUGCUGCUUUAAGGUCAAUGGUCGGUCAUGAUACAGCUCUUUCAUGGAGGUGAUAACUGGUAAUAACAAGUCACAGAACUUAACAUUUACAGAAACAUGUGGACACAUAUAUGGGAAAAUGCACAAAUGAUAAAUAUAUAAUGGACCAAAUUUACA